rnacentral:rRNA from 1 species
UACGUAGGGUGCAAGCGUUAAUCGGAAUUACUGGGCGUAAAGCGUGCGCAGGCGGUUGUGUAAGACAGAUGUGAAAUCCCCGGGCUCAACCUGGGAACUGCAUUUGUGACUGCACAGCUGGAGUGCGGCAGAGGGGGAUGGAAUUCCGCGUGUAGCAGUGAAAUGCGUAGAUAUGCGGAGGAACACCAAUGGCGAAGGCAGUCCCCUGGGCCUGUACUGACGCUCAUGCACGAAAGCGUGGGGAGCAAACAGG